rnacentral:misc_RNA from 1 species
CUGCCCUCAAGCACGGCUUGUGUGUUGGGCCGCCGUCCCCCUUCUGCCUGGGGGACGGGCCCGAAAGGCAGCGGCGGCACCGCGUCCGGUCCUCGAGCGUAUGGGGCUUCGUCACCCGCUCCGUAGGCCCGGCCGGCGCCCGCCGACCACCCAACCCUUUUUUCUCA